UGCGCCGCCGGUCACAUGUCCCUUGUUUACCCCGCUCGCUGCCGGUGGUGGCGGCCCCGCGGCGGGUGAGGGACCGACAGACUGACCCCGACCGACAGACCGACCACCCCGCCGGGGGCAGCGAGAGAUCGGCGUGGGGAAAAAAGGAAAGGCGGCGGGGAAAGGGUGUACCCCGCAGGGGCGCUGUGAGGGCUUGUCCCCUCUCGGGCGGUGUGAGGCUCAGCAUGUCCCUGCCAGCAAAGAGGUGUGGAAGGCCCCCAGUGUUGUCUUUUCUGGAAAAGAGAAAGAAGAGUCUUGAUAGAAGAAGGGGGAAAACAAGGAUUUAUGUAGGAAAUCACAUUGACUGGUGGCUGAGACUUAAGGAAAAGUUGGAUUUCAGAAACGAUGCAGAAGUCGCAGGGUUUUUACUAGUUUUGACACCUACAACCUGUUGUCAAAAGGUCUGCUCUGUCCCCUCUCUGAGGGUGUGAGAAGGAUCACUAGGAAGGAAGAAAGAGCGUUGUCAGCCAGCACUCCUUUAAUAGCAGCAGAUGGAACUAGGUGAACAAGUUGGGGUUCGGAAAGCAAUUCUAUGGCAGAGAAGAAUCCUUGGAAGCUAGGUCAGGAGUAGAUAAAUACCAGUGCUCAUGAAGCUGAAAAAUUCAGGGUGAGCAGCAAGAAGAAAAUCAAGCAUAACAAUACAGGGGCAAUUUUUACUCCAUUUUGAUUUUGCUAUGAGGAUAUUGUGAACUGUAAAGAAUUACUAUGAAAUAAGUGGAGUACUUUCAGUAACUGAAGUUCUACAGAACGGUGUUGGCGGUUCUGAAUGUUUUGUAGUUACCAAGUGUGAGUAAUCCUGGAAAGGUUUUGAACCAAGAACCUGAGAUUUUUCUUUGACCAAACAAUGACUCAUGUAAAUAACUCAGUUUGGCUCAUGGAAGAAGUGUGACCUGUGACACUUAUGCUCAGUGAAGUGUCUUCCAGUGCUCUCAGAUUUUCAGUUGUUGGUGCCAUUACAGUGAGAAGGGAAGAGGACUCAGCCUUCUGUUACAUUUUCCUCCAAAGGCUUCAAGAUCAGAAGAAUCCACAACUGCAUAUUCUCAGCCAGUUCGACCUCAUUCUUGUGCCUUUUUAAAUGCACACUGCAAAUGUUUCUAUUAUUUAACGACUUACUGUUAUGCAAGUAGAAUAAUACUGCCAGUACCUGAUUUGUUGAAUUGCACUCUCUAUGUCAAUUACUGGUGGAAUGAUUAUUCUUGUUCAUAGUACUGAAAUUCAUCCCUUACUAAGGCUUCCCCCAAACCUCCCAUGACACUGGCACUUCAUUCUGAAGAAAGAAAAAUCAAGAGAAAAUAGACUUCUAAAUAUUUCCUUUUGUAAUGUUACAGUGUGACAGAUGAUAUAUUUGGGUUGCUAUACGAGCAUACACUUUGGAAAAUCUGACUUCUGUAGAGCAGAGUAUUAUCAUUGCUGUUUUCCAGUAAAGUUAGCAGAAUGGUGAAUGGAAAAUUAUUCUGAAACAAGAUUCUUUCUUCUGAUGGAUAUGAUGAGCAGUGUCUCUGCUUUGGUCAAAAUGGCCAAGUAAGGCUUUCUGCUCCUGUGGGUCUAUAAAAAUUGUGGAAUUUGAUUAUGUUCAGAUGUCAGAACUAAACCAGUAAGAAUCACUUACCCUCCUAUUCCAUUGAUACAUUAAAAAUGUACUUUAGGAGAAUUACUUUAAGCAGAAUCAUAGGUUGUGCUAUUGGCAAUACUGAAUACUUAGGGCAUAAACCUAUAAUGUUAAAUGUGAGGAUUUUCUGUAGAGAUUUAUAGUGGAAGUAGCUAUAACACCACCAAAUUUUAAUUUUGUUUUCUGAUUGUAAAGUGGACUUAAUGUGCCAAUUGAUUUCCUUAUAACUGUGGCUCUAUCAAAUCUCUUGGAAUGUGAGUAUUUACAUGAAUAGACUGGGAAACUUCAUCCAAAUAAGUGCUGUGCUGUUCUGUGUCAAACGUAAGCUUCAAACCAUUAGUUAAAGAAUUGAAGUUACAAUGCACUGGUUUUCAUAGUACUAACUAAAUCUUCCGUUCCUUAGCCUUUACAAGAAGCCAUUUUCUAAAAUCACAAUAACUACAGUUGUGUUCUUAGCUCACAUAAUGUGGUAUCACCUGAAAACUUUGUGUCUUGCUAGGGGAAGGUAGUCUGGCCUAUAUUUUGAUUUACUUAUGUAGUAAAAAACCCUACAAAACUGGAGGGAAAAUUGUUUCAAAUAGCUCUUAUAGAUUUCCUGGUGAAAUAAGGAGUUUUGCAGAUCACCACAGACCUGCUGGAGAGGGGAGUAGUACUGAGGGGAGAUACUGGAUUAGGGUACUUCAAACCAGUGUUUCAAUGCCCUGUUUUCUUAUUAUUUCAUAUCGCUGUUUAAUUCUUGGGCUCUUUUCUUACUCUGAAUGCUUGUGAGCCUGUAAAGCUGGAUCAGUCAGUCAAGAGGAAUGCUGCAUCAAGGCCCAUUAUUUCAGAAUGUAACAGGGAGGCAGGAACCUGGUUUUAUUCAGAAUUCUUCAGGCUUAGUAGAUCAUCAUGGGUUUUAUCUUGUGGUAAAAUUGAAAUAUGAAAUACAACUUUUAUAAGCCAUGA